CCUCACUUUCUCUCUCUCCUCACUAUUCUCUCUCUCCUCACUAUUCUCUCUCCCCCACUACUCCCCCCCCACCUAAACCUGCUAACGUUACAGUGAGGUCUAUCUGCGUCAGCCCUCUCUCUCUCCCUCCAUCCCUCCGUUCCACCCUGUCGGAGGAGGAGGAAGAAGAUUAUGUUAACGUCCCCCCUAAACCUGCUAACGUUACAGUGAGGUCUAUCUGCGUCAUCCCUCCAUCCCUCCGUUCCACCCUGUCGGAGGAGGAGGAAGAAGAUUAUGUUAACGUUCCCCCCCCCCUAAACCUGCUAACGUUACAGUAAGGUUCAUCUGCGUCAUCCAUCCAGACAGAACUCACUACAGCCUCUCUUUACGUGCUAAGAGAAUAGUUGGAAUGUUGACGUAAUGAUAAUAAUAUAAUAAUAUAUAUAUAAAAUAAUAUGUGGAUAAUUUUGCAACAACAAAAAUAUGUUUUUAAAUUCUGAUUUUAUGAUGUUGGUUUGUUCUGAAGGCUGUAGGUGUUUAAAGUUGUAAAUAAUUACAUGUUAUGUUCUCAAUAAUCAUUUAAAGAUGUAAAUGAUUUUUCUUAGGGUUCUUUUUAUUUUCAUGAGAGCUUUAUCUGGGCCUUUAUCUGGGCCUUUAUCUGGGCCUUUAUCUGGGCCUUUAUCUGGGCCUUUAUCUGGGCCUGUAUCUGGGCCUUUAUCUGGGCCUUUUGUCCAGGUGAUCCGGGCCUGUCUUGUCCAGGUGAUCCGGGCCUGUCUUGUCCGGGUGAUCCGGGCCUGUCUUCUUGUCCGGGUGAUCCGGGCCUGUCUUCAUGUUCGGGUGAUCUGGGUGGGGUCAGUCGGUCAUCCAGGUGAUCGACCGACCCCAAAGUGCUGCAUGUUUAAUGACGACAGACACAGGUCUCGAUGGCUUGAACCCCGGGUCACAAGACUUGCGUUAGCUUCCUGAGCGAAAGGCUGAGCCUAGGCAUUAUCUCUAAGAGCUAAACAAGUCUUCAUGUUCACAGAAUCACCUCCGUUACAUAAACCUCCACAACGUCUGGUCACAUGACUCCAGUCCCAUCUCUCUCCUCUUCCCGACUCUAUCCUGACCCAAUCUGAGAUGGGUUGUACCACCCUGAGGAGAAGUUGGCCCUAACCACAAAUCUAGGAUCAGCUUCUUCCCUCUUAACCUUAAAGCAUCGAGGGGAAACAUAGAACUGAUUCAAGAUCAGCGUCUGUCAGCCCCAUGUGUGUAAAUAUAGCAGGAUAUUUCUCCAACGCUGCUUCUACCUUCCUGAGUCUCGCUCCUUUCUUUGUGUUGGGGGGGGGCUUAAAUUAGAACAGCCAUGGUCAAAACAGAGGGAGGAACUGAAUAUUAAAUUAGAACAGCCAUGGUCAAAACAGAGGGAGGAACUGAAUAUUAAAUUAGAACAGCCAUGGUCAAGAGGGAGGGGGGAACUGAAUAUUAAAUUAGAACAGCCAUGGUCAAAACAGAGGGAGGAACUGAAUAUUAAAUUAGAACAGCCAUGGUCAAAACAGAGGGGGGGAACUGAAUAUUAAAUUAGAACAGCCAUGGUCAAAACAGAGGGAGGAACUGAAUAUUAAAUUAGAACAGCCGUGGUCAAAACAGAGGGGGGAACUGAAUAUUAAAUUAGAACAGCCGUGGUCAAAACAGAGGGGGCUUAAAUUAGAACAGCCGUGGUCAAAACAGAGGGAGGAACUGAAUAUUAAAUUAGAACAGCCGUGGU